rnacentral:lncRNA from 1 species
CACGGAGCGGAGAGGAGAGGAGUGUAUAAAUAUCAGAGUGCCUCUUCUCUCCGCUAUACCAGACCUGACACAUGACCUAGUUGUCCCUGUCACGUCUCCUGUGUGUCCUCCCCAAGACCGCACUUCCCGAAGGAGUCGACUAGACAACGGUUGGUUUAUUCUACAGGAAGACAGUGGGAACAAGAGUGGAUCCAGCCCGCUUGACUGUGAUGACAAGGACUAACAGGACCAGCUGCCCUGUGGCAUUGUGGGACUGAGAACACCAAUAUUGAUGAGGGGCCAGUUUAGUCCCAACCUCCCCUCUAUGUCUGCAGGUCCAGUUCUGACAAGAGGAUACUCACUAUGACUAAUGGAAGCCUCUCUCUGCGUUCCGUCUCUCUGUAUACAACUCCUCCUUUGAGAUAGAUGGAAU